rnacentral:lncRNA from 1 species
AUUAUGGAUCCCCAUUAGUUCCUUCCAAGACAGUAGCUACACUUCAAAUCAAAUCAAAUCAAAUCAAAUCAAAUCAAAUGUUAUUUGUCACAUACACAUGGUUAGCAGAUGUUAAUGCGAGUGUAGCGAAAUGCUUGUGCUUCUAGUUCCGACAACCCCCCCCACCCCCCCCACACCCCCCCCCCCCUUUGGGCCCUUGUACUACUGAUGCUGGAACUACAGCCAAACCAGGUACUACUGAUGCUGGAACUACAGCCAAACCAGGUACUACUGAUGCUGGAACUACAGCCGAACCAUCUUUGCCAAGUACAACUUCUUCUACUAUUGCAACCACCGCUACGCCACCAAUUCAGUGUGAGAACGGAGGUACACCUGAAGGACAGUCUUGCAACUGUCCUCCUGACUUCCACGGGGAGACCUGCAGAGAUUUUAAAACUGACAUAGUGCCAGGUACGCUCAAUAGGACAGCGGUGGUUCAUAAUAUGGAAACUAAUUCCCCGUACAUAGAAAAAUAUAACGACAAAACUUCAACUGAAUACACAGACAAGGUCAAGAAUUUCACAACAGAGAUGGAGGAAUACUACAAGAGUAAAGGGAUACGGAAUUUCACAGUGGAAAACUUAACUCUGAGUAAUUGGUCAGCUAUAACCAUACCCUUGGGACGUGGUAUAGAGGAGAAAAGGAUGGAAAACUCCUUGUACAACCCCAAGGCAGGAUCAUAUCGCUGUAUGUCAGAAAACAAUCAACCUUGAUUUUGCUAAAUACUUUGAGCCUUACAAUAAAGACGGGAAGUUGCUCUGUUUGACGGCAUGUGACCCCAGACAUAAUAACACUAAAAACUGCAACAGCGGUAUCUGUGAAGUAACCAGAGCCGGACUGUCAUGCAAGUAAGUUCUAAACGUUAUAUUUAGUAUACUAGAUAAUUAUAUACAGUACACUACCAGUUUUAGAACACCUACUCUUUCAAGGGUUUUUCUUUAUUUAAAAAAAAAACUAUUUUCUACAUUGUAGAAUAAUAGUGAAGACAUCAAAACUAUGAAACAACCCAUAUGGAAUAAUGUAGUAACUAAAGAAGUAUUAAAUCAAAAUAUAUUUUUUAUUUGAGAUUCUUCAAAUGUACUAAACCGAUAGCUGGACAGUAGCAGAGGCCAACCAGAUACUACUGAU